rnacentral:rRNA from 1 species
UACGGAGGGUGCGAGCGUUAAUCGGAAUUAUUGGGCGUAAAGAGCUCGUAGGCGGUUUGUCGGGUCUGCUGUGAAAACCUAAGGCUCAACCUUGGGCUUGCAGUGGGUACGGGCAGACUAGAGUGCGGUAGGGGUGACUGGAAUUCCUGGUGUAGCGGUGGAAUGCGCAGAUAUCAGGAGGAACACCGAUGGCGAAGGCAGGUCACUGGGCCGCAACUGACGCUGAGGAGCGAAAGCGUGGGGAGCAAACAGG